rnacentral:rRNA from 1 species
UCCCGCUAUUGGAUGAGCCUAUGUCGGAUUAGCUAGUUGGUGAGGUAAUGGCUCACCAAGGCAACGAUCCGUAGCUGGUCUGAGAGGAUGAUCAGCCACAUCGGGACUGAGACACGGCCCGAACUCCUACGGGAGGCAGCAGUGGGGAAUAUUGGACAAUGGGGGCAACCCUGAUCCAGCCAUGCCGCGUGUGUGAAGAAGGCCCUCGGGUUGUAAAGCACUUUCAGCGAGGAAGAACGCCUAUUGGUUAAUACCCGUUAGGAAAGACAUCACUCGCAGAAGAAGCACCGGCUAACUCCGUGCCAGCAGCCGCGGUAAUACGGAGGGUGCAAGCGUUAAUCGGAAUUACUGGGCGUAAAGCGCGCGUAGGUGGCUUGAUAAGCCGGUUGUGAAAGCCCCGGGCUCAACCUGGGAACGGCAUCCGGAACUGUCACGCUAGAGUGCAGGAGAGGAAGGUAGAAUUCCCGGUGUAGCGGUGAAAUGCGUAGAGAUCGGGAGGAAUACCAGUGGCGAAGGCGGCCUUCUGGACUGACACUGACACUGAGGUGCGAAAGCGUGGGUAGCAAACAGGAUUAGAUACCCUGGUAGUCCACGCCGUAAACGAUGUCGACCAGCCGUUGGGUGCCUAGAGAACUUUGUGGCGAAGUUAACGCGAUAAGUCGACCGCCUGGGGAGUACGGCCGCAAGGUUAAAACUCAAAUGAAUUGACGGGGGCCCGCACAAGCGGUGGAGCAUGUGGUUUAAUUCGAUGCAACGCGAAGAACCUUACCUACCCUUGACAUCUACAGAAGCCGGAAGAGAUUCUGGUGUGCCUUCGGGAACUGUAAGACAGGUGCUGCAUGGCUGUCGUCAGCUCGUGUUGUGAAAUGUUGGGUUAAGUCCCGUAACGAGCGCAACCCUUGUCCUUAUUUGCCAGCGAGUAAUGUCGGGAACUCUAAGGAGACUGCCGGUGACAAACCGGAGGAAGGUGGGGACGACGUCAAGUCAUCAUGGCCCUUACGGGUAGGGCUACACACGUGCUACAAUGGCCGGUACAAAGGGCUGCGAGCUCGCGAGAGUCAGCGAAUCUCUUAAAGCCGGUCUCAGUCCGGAUCGGAGUCUGCAACUCGACUCCGUGAAGUCGGAAUCGCUAGUAAUCGUGAAUCAGAAUGUCACGGUGAAUACGUUCCCGGGCCUUGUACACACCGCCCGUCACACCAUGGGAGUGGACUGCACCAGAAGUGGUUAGCCUAAC